GACGAACGCUGGCGGCGUGCUUAACACAUGCAAGUCGAACGGAAAGGCCCUGCUUUUGUGGGGUGCUCGAGUGGCGAACGGGUGAGUAACACGUGAGUAACCUGCCCUUGACUUUGGGAUAACUUCAGGAAACUGGGGCUAAUACCGGAUAGGAGCUCCUGCUGCAUGGUGGGGGUUGGAAAGUUUCGGCGGUUGGGGAUGGACUCGCGGCUUAUCAGCUUGUUGGUGGGGUAGUGGCUUACCAAGGCUUUGACGGGUAUCCGGCCUGAGAGGGUGACCGGCCACAUUGGGACGGAGAUACGGCCCAGACUCCAACGGGAGGCAGCAGUGGGGAAUAUUGCACAAUGGGCGGAAGCCUGAUGAAGAAACGCCGCGUGCGGGAUGACGGCCUUCGGGUUGUAAACCGCUUUCGCAUGUGACGAAGCGUGAGUGACGGUAAUGGGUAAAGAAGCACCGGCUAACUACGUG
rnacentral:rRNA from 1 species